GGGGCGGGCCCUCUUUCUUGUUGGCCGAGUAGCUGGAAUAAGCUACAGCUGCGUUUAAGGGCGCCCAGAUCUGCCCAGGAGGCACAACUGAGUUUUGCUGCAGCUGCUUCUCUUGAGCCCGGCGCUCCACUAGGAGCCUGGAAGGGCAACUUGGCGCUGAGAAGAAUCUGAAAAGUAUCUCAUAUGGGUUCGGCUCUGACUUGAGAAGAAUUAAAACACCAUUGAUAAUGAAAGUUGAAGACUGCAAUAAUUCUGCAGAAGAGACUAAAAUGGAGAAAAUACCUAUGAAAACACUAGCCCAAUGCUUUUCUACUGUGAUAUGCUGACAAUGAGAACAAAAUGCUUCAAACUACAGCAUGCUAAAUAUCAGGAACUUGUAGUUGUUGAAAAUUAUCAGAGAAGCUUCUGACUCAUAAGCUUACCAUCAAGCUAUAUAAAGCCAAUAGAACUAUGAUACCUGUAGGAUGCAAUAGAAGGUGACUUCCUUUCACUAGAUCAUUUAAUGGGCACUGUUUCAGAGUAAUGUGAAUCUGUUUCUGGAAAGGGACAAGAGACUCCCAAACACUACUUAAAAGAGAACAUGCCCCCCCUAAAUAAGUUUGGCUUGUAUUUUGUCUUUACCCAUAGCAAUUUUCUUCUGUCUACUGUAAGAAUUAUUUUUGCUAUCAUUUUGUUAAGAGAUGAUAAAAAAACAGAGUUGCUUGUUCUAUGUCA